rnacentral:rRNA from 1 species
AUUGAACGCUGGCGGCAGGCCUAACACAUGCAAGUCGAGCGGAGCGGCGGACGGGUGAGUAAUGCCUAGGUAUCUGCCUGGUAGCGGGGGAUAACGUCCGGAACCGGGCGCUAAUACCGCAUCCUAUCACUUGAGCAUAGGUCGGAUUAGCUAGUUGGUGGGGUAAAGGCCUACCAAGGCGACGACCCGUAACUGGUCUGAGAGGAUGAUCAGUCACACUGGAACUGAGACACGGUCCAGACUCCUACGGGAGGCAGCAGUGGGGAAUAUUGGACAAUGGGCGAAAGCCUGAUGCAGCCAUGCCGCGUGUGUGAAGAAGGUCUUCGGGUUGUAAAGCACUUUAAGUUGGGAGGCGUUACCAGCAGAAUAAGCACCGGCUAACUUCGUGCCAGCAGCCGCGGUAAUAC